GGGCUUGUGGUUUAGUGGUAUAAUACUCCCUUAGCACGUGACUGACACACGGCAUCUUCACGAUGUUUGCUUGGGUCGUCUAGCAUGGGAGUGGUCCGGGGUUCGAUUCCCCGCGAGUCCA